rnacentral:rRNA from 1 species
AACGAACGCUGGCGGCAUGCCUAACACAUGCAAGUCGAACGAGACCUUCGGGUCUAGUGGCGCACGGGUGCGUAACGCGUGGGAACCUGCCCUUAGGUUCGGAAUAACUCCCCGAAAGGGGUGCUAAUACCGGAUAAUGUCUUCGGACCAAAGAGUUAUCGCCUUUGGAUGGGCCCGCGUUGGAUUAGCUAGUUGGUAGGGUAAAAGCCUACCAAGGCGACGAUCCAUAGCUGGUCUGAGAGGAUGAUCAGCCACACUGGGACUGAGACACGGCCCAGACUCCUACGGGAGGCAGCAGUGGGGAAUAUUGGACAAUGGGCGAAAGCCUAAUCCAGCAAUGCCGCGUGAGUGAUGAAGGCCUUAGGGUUGUAAAGCUCUUUUACACGGGAUGAUAAUGACAGUACCGGGAGAAUAAGCUCCGGCUAACUCCGUG